AGAGCGAACGCUGGCGGCAUGCUUAACACAUGCAAGUCGCACGGGCAGGGGUAACUCUGUCAGUGGCGGACGGGUGAGUAACGCGUAGGUAUCUAUCCUCGGGUGGGGGACAACCACGGGAAACUGUGGCUAAUACCGCAUGAUGACUGAGGUCCAAAGGCGCAAGUCGCCUGGGGAGGAGCCUGCGUCCGAUUAGCUUGUUGGUGGGGUAAAGGCCUACCAAGGCUCCGAUCGGUAGCUGGUCUGAGAGGAUGAUCAGCCACACUGGGACUGAGACACGGCCCCAGACUCCUACGGGAGGCAGCAGUGGGGAAUAUUGGACAAUGGGCGAAAGCCUGAUCCAGCAAUGCCGCGUGGGUGAAGAAGGUCUUCGGAUUGUAAAGCCCUUUCGACGGGGACGAUGAUGACGGUACCCGUAGAAGAAGCCCCGGCUAACUUCGUGCCAGCAGCCGC
rnacentral:rRNA from 1 species